CAGCAGCCGCGGGAAUACGAAGGGGGCUAGCGUUGCUCGGAAUCACUGGGCGUAAAGGGUGCGUAGGCGGGUCUUUAAGUCAGGGGUGAAAUCCUGGAGCUCAACUCCAGAACUGCCUUUGAUACAGAAGAUCUUGAGUUCGGGAGAGGUGAGUGGAACUGCGAGUGUAGAGGUGAAAUUCGUAGAUAUUCGCAAGAACACCAGUGGCGAAGGCGGCUCACUGGCCCGAUACUGACGCUGAGGCACGAAAGCGUGGGGAGCAAACAGGAUUAGAUACCCCAGUAGUCCCUGUCUCUUAUAC
rnacentral:rRNA from 1 species